UUCUGAGUAUAUUCUAUAAGAGAUGUGGCUGCUCAAAUUAGUUUAUGCUUUUUUCUUCGGCGUCUUCUUUUCAACACUCACCCAUAAAAAAUGCGGGGUGAACAAACACGUUAGAAUUGACAAGCUAAAGAACACGCAUAAGAUGCAGUUCGGCAAAGCUGCGGUAGCGGCAGUCGACGUGACAUUUCUCAAAGAGAUGCCUGCUGGUACAAAGUUGUCAAUUACCAUACACAAAUACGUAUUGGGCCUAUAUAUUCCGCUUCCAUGCAUGCGUGGUAAAGGCUCCUGUAAAUAUGAUCUCUGUGAAUUUCUGACCAGCAAAGACGAUAUGUGCACGCUUUGGGUUCAGGUACCCGUUGAUCAUCUACGGACAGUAGCUAUCCGUGAGGAAACGUGUUCUCCGCGCGCUGAUGAAACCACGAGGUCGGACAGCCCCGAAAUUUAGGCAAGCCCUAAAACACCGGACAACCCAUAAAAGUGGGAAUGGUUACGGCCUUCAAUCAACGCGAGCACGUCUAACUGCUUAUAGCCCACUGACUACCGCAACGGCUCGCAACACUUUCAUGACAGCCCCUAUGAGUCCCACGAUUUUCACUAGUCGCGCCUCAGCGGAAGUUUUUAACCACAGUCACGCGUCAAGUCAAACACCAGCCUUGGACGAUACGCCCACUUCAAGACUAAUGGCUUCCCCAAGCAGCACGGCUGCCACAAAGAUCGCACGGAGGCACGAUUCAUCUAGAAAUAGUCGAAAUUCUUUAAACUUCAGCUCGAAUUUAAAAACCACCAUUGCAUCGAGUGGUAUCGAAAAACCUACGUAUCCAAGAAUAGCCACCGAAUCCAAUGAUAUUGAAAAUUUCACGGAUCUAAAAACAUCCAUCGCAUCGAGCGGUGCUGAGAGCUCAAAAAAACACGUUACGAAACACGUUAUCGCACCUCGGGGUAAAUGCAGCUGCCCUAUCCGCAGCGGCUUAAGGCUUAAGAGCAAAAUGGUCCACGUACUGCAACUGCCUGAACUUCGAUGGAUUCCAAAAUUUAUUAAAAAUGGUGGAUACACCAUACGGGCUGAGCUAAUUGAUCGCCAAGGAAAUUCUCUACACUGCAGUAACAUGAGAGUUUGGAUUGGUUGAAUACACCCCGUUAGGAAGCCUGGACGUACGUACG